rnacentral:lncRNA from 1 species
GUUGGUGACAAAACAUGGAAGCCUAGGCAAGAAAGAAGGUUCUAAAGGCCCCCUUGGGGUCCCAGGGCCUGGCCAGCUGUUGUUACACAAGAACGAAAGAACCGAUCUGCAAAGCAGUCAGGCUGCUCAGUGACACACUUGGUCAGUUCCUUGAAUAACUAGUCAGUUUAACAAAGGGAAUGGAAAUCAAAUAAAUGCCUCAAACCAGAA